rnacentral:ncRNA from 1 species
GAAUAAUAUAAGCAAACCUUCUGAAAGGAAGGGACGCAAAGCCAUGGGUCUAAAGAGGGUUAAAUCUAUGAUUGCCAGGUUGCACUU